rnacentral:tRNA from 1 species
UCCUGCUUAGCGCAGUUGUUAGAGCGCUCCAUUGGAAAUGAAGGGGUCCUUGGUUCGAUACCAGGACCAGGCG